GUGAGGAAUAUUCCGCAAUGGGGGAAACCCUGACGGAGCAAUGCCGCGUGCAGGAUGAAGGCCCUCGGGUCGUAAACUGCUUUUAUAUGAGAAGAAUAUGACGGUAACAUAUGAAUAAGGGACGGCUAACUACGUGCCAGCAGCCGCGGUCAUACGUAGGUCCCAAGCGUUAUCCGGAGUGACUGGGCGUAAAGAGUUGCGUAGGCGGCUCGUUAAGCGUGAAAUGAAAUUUAUCGGCUCAACCGGUAAACUAUUUCGCGAACUGACGGGCUCGAGAGGAUGAGAGGUUACUGGAAUUUCUAGUGUAGCAGUGAAAUGCGUAGAUAUUAGAAAGAACACCAGCGGCGUAGGCAGGUAACUGGCAUACAUCUGACGCUGAGGCACGAAAGCGUGGGGAGCGAACCGGAUUAGAUACCCCAGUAGUCC
rnacentral:rRNA from 1 species